ACCUGUUUAAUCAAAAACAUCUCUUUAAGAACUAACUUAAAGUAAGACCUGCUCAAUUCCAUUAUAGUAAAUAGCCGCAGUUUCACUGUGCUAAGGUAGCAUAAUAAUUAGCCCUCUAAUUAAGGGAUAGAAUGAAUGGUUAGACGAGGUUACGACUAUCUAACUUAAAACAAGAUAAACUAACACAUCAGUAAAAAUACUGAUAUUACAAAGCAGGACGACAAGACCCUGCUAGAACUCACCAUUUAGCUGGGGCGGCUCAACCAAAAAAACCUUGAUAAACAAUUACAAACAAAAACCUAAUAAAAUUAAUAUUAGUUACCUCAGGGAUAACAGCGCAAUUUCCUUCAAAAGCUCCAAUUAAAAAGGAAGAUUACGACCUCGAUGUUGAAUUAAUAACCUAAUCUUAGCGCAAAAGCAGAUAUAAGGUG
rnacentral:rRNA from 1 species